GUGAUUUCGGCAAGGGUGGACGAUGCGGCCCAUUACCUGUGAUUGAUCACGGGUUAAGCCUGAAUUUCAC
rnacentral:ncRNA from 1 species